rnacentral:rRNA from 1 species
GAUGAACGCUGGCGGCGUGCCUAAUACAUGCCAGUCGAGCGAACAGACGAGGAGCUUGCUCCUCUGACGUUAGCGGCGGACGGGUGAGUAACACGUGGAUAACCUACCUAUAAGACUGGGAUAACUUCGGGAAACCGGAGCUAAUACCGGAUAAUAUAUUGAACCGCAUGGUUCAAUAGUGAAAGACGGUUUUGCUGUCACUUAUAGAUGGAUCCGCGCCGCAUUAGCUAGUUGGUAAGGUAACGGCUUACCAAGGCAACGAUGCGUAGCCGACCUGAGAGGGUGAUCGGCCACACUGGAACUGAGACACGGUCCAGACUCCUACGGGAGGCAGCAGCAGGGAAUCUUCCGCAAUGGGCGAAAGCCUGACGGAGCAAUGCCGCGUGAGUGAUGAAGGUCUUCGGAUCGUAAAACUCUGUUAUUAGGGAAGAACAAAUGUGUAAGUAACUAUGCACGUCUUGACGGUACCUAAUCAGAAAGCCACGGCUAACUACGUG